rnacentral:rRNA from 1 species
ACUCCUACGGGAGGCAGCAGUGGGAAUAUUGGACAAUGGGGGCACCCUGAUCCAGCCAUGCCGCGUGAGUGAAGAAGGCCCCUAGGGUCGUAAAGCUCUUUCAACUGUGAAGAUAAUGACGGUAGCAGUAGAAGAAACCCCGCAGCUACCCGUGCCAGCAGCCGCGGUAAUACGGAGGGGGUUAGCGUUGUUCGGAAUUACUGGGCGUAAAGCGCACGUAGGCGGACUAUUAAGUUAGAGGUGAAAUCCCAGGGCUCAACCCUGGAACUGCCUUUAAUACUGGUAGUCUUGAGUUCGAGAGAGGUGAGUGGAAUUCCGAGUGUAGAGGUGAAAUUCGUAGAUAUUCGGAGGAACACCAGUGGCGAAGGCGGCUCACUGGCUCGAUACUGACGCUGAGGUGCGAAAGUGUGGGGAGCAAACAGGAUUAGAUACCCUGGUAGCUACGAG